ensembl:snRNA U6 U6 spliceosomal RNA
GCGCUUGCUGCAGCAGCACAUAUACUAAAAUUGGAACAAUAAAGAGAAGAUUAGCAUGGCCCCUGCGCAAGGAUAUAAUAUAUGUCUGUACCUGGGCACAUGGUUUC